rnacentral:tRNA from 1 species
GGAGAGGUCGCAUAGCGGCCUAGUGCGGCAGUUUUGAAAACUGCUGAGGGUGUAAGCCCUCCGUGGGUUCGAAUCCCACCCUCUCCG